rnacentral:rRNA from 1 species
AGUGACCGCUGGCGGUAGGCCUAACACAUGCAAGUCGAACGGCAGCACAGUAAGAGCUUGCUCUUACGGGUGGCGAGUGGCGGACGAGUGAGGAAUACAUCGGAAUCUACUUUUUCGUGGGGGAUAACGUAGGGAAACUUACGCUAAUACCGCAUACGACCUACGGGUGAAAGCAGGGGAUCUUCGGACCUUGCGCGAUUGAAUGAGCCGAUGUCGGAUUAGCUAGUUGGCGGGGUAAAGGCCCACCAAGGCGACGAUCCGUAGCUGGUCUGAGAGGAUGAUCAGCCACACUGGAACUGAGACACGGUCCAGACUCCUACGGGAGGCAGCAGUGGGGAAUAUUGGACAAUGGGCGCAAGCCUGAUCCAGCCAUACCGCGUGGGUGAAGAAGGCCUUCGGGUUGUAAAGCCCUUUUGUUGGGAAAGAAAAGCAGCAGGUUAAUACCCCGCUGUUCUGACGGUACCCAAAGAAUAAGCACCGGCUAACUUCGUG